ACGACCUUACUUGAACAAGAUCUGUUCUAUAGGAUCGUACGUCUGUUUCCGUGAUUACAAACCUUGUGGAUGGAAUCGUGGCUGUGUGAUCAGAGCGUGAUAAAUGGUUGGAUGAGUUCGUGGAGUCCCGUCCAUUGAGCCGUAGAGGAUCGUUUUCAGCUGGUUCAGCCAGUUGAGAUGGUUGGGAUGGCACACGGCUGUCUGACAGGUC